UACGGAGGAUCCAAGCGUUAUCCGGAUUUAUUGGGUUUAAAGGGUGCGCAGGCGGAAGAUUAAGUCGGCGGUGAAAUUUUGCAGCUCAACUGUAAAAGUGCCAUCGAUACUGGUUUUCUUGAGUGUGGAUGAAGUAGGCGGAAUUUGUGGUGUAGCGGUGAAAUGCAUAGAUAUCACGAGGAACUCCGAUUGCGCAGGCAGCUUACUAAACCAUAACUGACGCUCAGGCACGAAGGCGUGGGGAUCAAACAGGAUUAGAUA
rnacentral:rRNA from 1 species